CCUACGGGAGGCAGCAGUGGGGAAUAUUGCACAAUGGGGGAAACCCUGAUGCAGCGACGCCGCGUGAGCGAAGAAGUAUUUCGGUAUGUAAAGCUCUAUCAGCAGGGAAGAAAAUGACGGUACCUGAUUAAGAAGCCCCGGCUAACUACGUGCCAGCAGCCGCGGUAAUACGUAGGGAGCAAGCGUUAUCCGGAUUUACUGGGUGUAAAGGGAGCGUAGGCGGUAAGGCAAGUCUGAAGUGAAAGGCCAGGGCACAACCCUGGGACUGCAUUGGAAACUGUGUGACUAGAGUGUCGGAGAGGCAAGUGGAAUUCCUAGGGUAGCGGUGAAAUGCGUAGAUAUUAGGAGGAACACCAGUGGCGAAGGCGGCUUGCUGGACAGUGACUGACGUGGAGGCUCGAAAGCGUGGGGAGCAAACAGGAUUAGAUACCCCUGUAGUC
rnacentral:rRNA from 1 species